rnacentral:lncRNA from 1 species
CAGUGAAACCCGUCUCUACUAAAAUACAAAAAAUUGGGGCGGUGGCGGGGCCUGUAGUCCAGCUACUCAGGAGGCUGAGCAGGAGAAUGCGUGAACCAGAGGCGAGCUUGCAGUGAGCCAAGAUCGCCACUGCACUCCAGCCUGGCAACACAGCUUCUCCUUCCAACUUCAAGGUAUUUAUUUUUUCCAUGUGCUAUUUGCUAGAACCAAAAGAUCAGGAAAUGUUUCUAAAUGCUCAAGUGUUUUAGCUGACUUUUUACGAGGUUUCCUUUGGAUUCAGGAAGCUUUGAAUGGCAUAAAUGGGCUCUGUACAGAUGCUUCUAGAAAGUUAAUGUGUGCUCAUCUCAGAGAUUCCCAGAGAGUGACCACCUCCACAUCCCACCUCACGGGGCUCAUGACCGAUGACAAUAACGUCAAAGGAGGCUGUAACUCUCUCUUAACUUUUUCAGGCUUGAAACCACAGAAAGCAAUAAAUUCAAUGACACAUAUGAUUGGCAUCUUUCCCAUGCCAGCAGCCACGGCUGCGAGCCGCCAACGACCCAGUUGUGUUAGAGUCCUUGACCUCAUGGAGUUGACAGCUGGGAGUGAGAAUGGAGCCACGGCGGGGACUGCUAACAGGCUUCUGGAUAUUUCUGUUCUUAUUUUAUUCUUGGAUGCAAGAAUGAUUUUAAACAACCUGUUUGAUAAAGCCAUUGGCGUAUUUAAUGGGAUGCUCUCUACAAAUGCUAAAGAUUUAUUGACACUUGGUGGAGCUGAUGGAUCAAUGCUUUUAAAGAUGACUCCGGAGACCACACUACUACUGAUUCACUUCUGACGUUUUGAUGGGUGUUUAAAAAGAGUGUAGACCUGAGUGAAGAAUAAAUAGUCUGGAUGACCCCUGGAUACUGAAGCUGCACAUGGCUCCUGUGGAAAGAAGGAGAUGUUCAAUGCUCAUGGGUAGCACCCCAAAGGAACGCUGAGAUCCUUCUAUUCAAUUAGCAGGUGACCUCUUGUUUACAAACAUCUCAGCAGAAGAGUCUUCUAUCCAAAUUCCACUCAUAAAAAGG